AUUGAACGCUGGCGGCAGGCUUAACACAUGCAAGUCGAACGAGUGGCGGACGGGUGAGUAAUGUUUGGGAAUCUAGCUUAUGGAGGGGGAUAACUACGGGAAACGGUAGCUAAUACCGCGUACUAUAGGAUGAACCCAUAUGGGAUUAGCUAGUUGGUGAGGUAAUGGCUCACCAAGGCGACGAUCUCUAGCUGGUCUGAGAGGAUGAUCAGCCACACGGGGACUGAGACACGGCCCAGACUCCUACGGGAGGCAGCAGUGGGGAAUAUUGCACAAUGGGGGCAAGCCUGACGCAGCCAUGCCGCGUGUAUGAAGAAGGCCUUAGGGUUGUAAAGUACUUUCAGUGGGGAGGCGUUACCUACAGAAGAAGCACCGGCUAACUCCGUGCCAGCAGCCGCGGUAAUAC
rnacentral:rRNA from 1 species